rnacentral:rRNA from 1 species
GGGGAUAACACUUAGAAAUAGGUGCUAAUACCGCAUAAGCGCACGAAGCCGCAUGGAUUUGUGUGAAAAACUCCGGUGGUGUAAGAUGGACCCGCGUCUGAUUAGCUUGUUGGCGGGGUAACGGCCCACCAAGGCGACGAUCAGUAGCCGGCCUGAGAGGGUGGACGGCCACAUUGGGACUGAGACACGGCCCAAACUCCUACGGGAGGCAGCAGUGGGGGAUAUUGGACAAUGGGGGGAACCCUGAUCCAGCGACGCCGCGUGAGUGAAGAAGUAUUUCGGUAUGUAAAGUUUUUUUAGCAGGGAAGAAAGAAAUGACGGUACCUGACCAAGAAGCCCCGGCUAACUACGUGCCAGCAGCCGCGGUAAUACGUAGGGGGCAAGCGUUAUCCGGAAUUACUGGGUGUAAAGGGAGCGUAGACGGUUAAGUAAGUCUGGAGUGAAAGGCCGGGGCCCAACCCCGGGACUGCUCUGGAAACUAUUGAACUUGAGUGCAGGAGAGGUAAGCGGAAUUCCUAGUGUAGCGGUGAAAUGCGUUGAUAUUAGGAGGAACACCAGUGGCGAAGGCGGCUUACUGGACUGUAACUGACGUUGAGGCACGAAAGCGUGGGGAGCAAACAGGAUUAGAUACCCUGGUAGUCCACGCCGUAAACGAUGAUUACUAGGUGUCG